rnacentral:rRNA from 1 species
UACGAAGGGUGCAAACGUUGCUCGGAUUGACUGGGCGUAAAGGGCGCGUAGGCGGUUCGUACAGUCAGACGUGAAAUUCCUGGGCUCAACCUGGGGGCUGCGUUUGAUACGUGCGGACUUGAGUGCGGAAGAGGGUCGUGGAAUUCCCAGUGUAGAGGUGAAAUUCGUAGAUAUUGGGAAGAACACCGGUGGCGAAGGCGGCGACCUGGUCCGAUACUGACGCUGAGGCGCGAAAGCGUGGGGAGCAAACAGG